AUGCAAACCCGCCUGACUAAUUCAUUCAUAACAACCGCACGCUUAAUCAGCGCCCAGACGCUGCCACGCGCUCGCCGGGAGCCGGGCACCCUGCGGCCCCCACGCAGCCGCUGCAGCACCACGGGACAUGGCCAUGGGGCUGGCACCCGUGGGGGUGGCACCCGUGGGGCGCACGCCGGGGUCUCCCGUGGCCGUCCUGUGGGGUGGUGCCAGGCACUGGGACGCUGGGACAUGCUGUCGGGGAGUGGCACCGUGCCCGUGGCACACGGCCGUGCCCUGCAGCACUCGGGGACGCGUUGGCGCCCUGUGCCCGCUGUCCCUGCUGCCCGGGGCUUGCCGCACACCAGACUGGCCCGGAGCCGGGCUGCGCUGCCCGGCCUUGGCAUCCGACCCUGCUGGCUCGCUGCCCGGAUGGAGCUGGCACCAGCACCUGGCUGGCAUCUCCGCGCGGUGCCACCUCGGCACCCGCCAAAGGGGACCCCGUACCCAGGCUGUGUGGGGCGCACGGGGCCGGCACCCCCAGGCCCUCCUGGGCACAGCAGCACCGGCGUCCUCCACUCCCCAGCACCCGCCUUUCCCUCGUUUAGGCGGGCGCAAUCAGCAGCAAUUAUUGCUUUAAUUACCUGCUGCCGGGGCGCAGGCCGGGCGCCUGCGAAGUGCGAGGAAAUCUUUCAUUUUAAUGGAGUGCCAGGCCUGGCGCGGGCCACGAUUUAUGGGGCUCCAGCUGGGGAUUUAAUUUGCCGGCUGCAAUGCCCGCGGUGGUGCGGGGAGGUCCCCGGGGGGGCGCAGCCGGCGGAGGCAGGGGCUGGCACCCAGGUCCCCACCCCACACAGUGCCGGGGUGGCCGAAGGGCUGCGGGCAGGGGACGGGGGUGGCACGGCGAGCUGGUGGCACGGGGCCGGCGCUGCUGCGGCCGCCCGCGGGCAGGCUCUCCUCGCCAAGAACACGCUGACCUUCCCCGCAUCUCCUCGCAGCAGGCACCGGCGCGCCGCGCUCAGCACCGCCAGGGAGCUCAGAACUGAUGCUGGGAGCAGGAUCAGUCCCUUGAGGAGCAGUGGGGCCAAGCUGGGGGGUGGGGGGCACAGCCCCGGGAUGGGGGUGUGA
rnacentral:lncRNA from 1 species